AGCCAUUAGAGAAAUGCACAUCAGUGUGUGAAAGCUGCACAUGCAGUCUGAUUAUUUUACAAGACUGAGGCUU
rnacentral:snoRNA from 1 species